UACAGAGGUCUCAAGCGUUGUUCGGAUUCAUUGGGCGUAAAGGUGCGUAGGCGGCGCGGUAAGUCGGGUGUGAAAUCUUGGAGCUUAACUCCGAAACUGCAUUCGAUACUGCCGUGCUUGAGGACUGGAGAGGAGACUGGAAUUUACGGUGUAGCGGUGAAAUGCGUAGAUAUCGUAAGGAAGACCAGUGGCGAAGGCGGGUCUCUGGACAGUUCCUGACGCUGAAGCACGAAGGCCAGGGGAGCAAACGGG
rnacentral:rRNA from 1 species